rnacentral:piRNA from 1 species
AGUCCUGCAGAAGAGCAGAGCGGUGCUGC